rnacentral:rRNA from 1 species
GACGAACGCUGGCGGCGUGCCUAAUACAUGCAAGUCGAGCGGGCCUCCGGAGGUGCUUGCACCUCCGGAAGGCCAGCGGCGGACGGGUGAGUAACACGUGGGCAACCUGCCUUUGAGGCCGGGAUAACACCGGGAAACCGGUGCUAAUACCGGAUACGUCCUCUUUCGCGCCUGCGAGAGGGGAGAAAGACGGUCUUUAAGGCCGUCGCUCAAAGAGGGGCCCGCGGCGCAUUAGCUGGUUGGUGGGGUAAGGGCCUACCAAGGCGACGAUGCGUUGCCGACCUGAGAGGGGGAUCGGCCACACUGGGACUGAGACACGGCCCAGACUCCUGCGGGAGGCAGCAGUAGGGAAUCAUCCGCAAUGGGCGAAAGCCUGACGGUGCAACGCCGCGUGAGUGAGGACGGUUUUCGGGUCGUAAAGCUCUGUUGUGAGGGAAGAACAGCUUCCGGAGGAAAUGCCGGAGGUUUGCCGGUACCUCACCAGAAAGCCCCGGCUAACUACGUGCCAGCCGCCGCCGUAA